rnacentral:rRNA from 1 species
AGAGUUUGAUCAUGGCUACAGAACGAACGCUGGCGGCAUGCCUAACACAUGCAAGUCGAACGAGACCUUCGGGUCUAGUGGCGCACGGGUGCGUAACGCGUGGGGAUCUGCCCUUUGCUUCGGAAUAACAGUUAGAAAUGACUGCUAAUACCGGAUGAUGACUUCGGUCCAAAGAUUUAUCGGCAAAGGAUGAACCCGCGUAGGAUUAGCUAGUUGGUGGGGUAAAGGCCUACCAAGGCGACGAUCCUUAGCUGGUCUGAGAGGAUGAUCAGCCACACUGGGACUGAGACACGGCCCAGACUCCUACGGGAGGCAGCAGUGGGGAAUAUUGGACAAUGGGCGAAAGCCUGAUCCAGCAAUGCCGCGUGAGUGAUGAAGGCCUUAGGGUUGUAAAGCUCUUUUACCCGGGAUGAUAAUGACAGUACCGGGAGAAUAAGCUCCGGCUAACUCCGUG